GAUGAAGAACGUAGCGAAAUGCGAUAAGUAAUGUGAAUUGCAGAAUUCAGUGAAUCAUCGAAUUUUUGAACGCACAUUGCGCCUCUCGGUAUUCCGGGAGGCACGCCUGUUCGAGCGCCAUUACACCCUCCAAGCUGCGGCUUGAUGUUGGGCGAGGUCCUCUUGUUGAUUCUCCUCUGUGAGGAGGGUAGGAGAGGACGCGCCUGGAACGCGUGGGCGGGCGUCAGUCAGAGCGCGAGCGUAGCGAGGCUGUGAAAGGUCAAAGUCGCUCGGGAUUGGAUCUGGCGGACGCGUGGCCGAAAGGAGGGAGGAAUUGAUCUCUCUCCGUCGAAUUUCGUAUGGUUUGGCCUCGGAUCAGGCGGGGAUACCCGCUGAACUUAAGCAUAUAAUAAGCGGAGGA
rnacentral:misc_RNA from 1 species